rnacentral:rRNA from 1 species
GACGAAGCGGGCAAAGACGCGCGGCACAGCGAGAGGCGCGCGUAACACCGGCGGCCGGGGACCGGGCGGCCCCCACGCCCGCCCUGUUUGGAUCUGGUCAGGACGAACGCUGGCGGCGUGCCUAAUACAUGCAAGUCGAGCGGACAGAUGGGAGCUUGCUCCCUGAUGUUAGCGGCGGACGGGUGAGUAACACGUGGGUAACCUGCCUGUAAGACUGGGAUAACUCCGGGAAACCGGGGCUAAUACCGGAUGCUUGUUUGAACCGCAUGGUUCAAACAUAAAAGGUGGCUUCGGCUACCACUUACAGAUGGACCCGCGGCGCAUUAGCUAGUUGGUGAGGAGACGGCUCACCAAGGCAACGAUGCGUAGCCGACCUGAGAGGGUGAUCGGCCACACUGGGACUGAGACACGGCCCAGACUCCUACGGGAGGCAGCAGUAGGGAAUCUUCCGCAAUGGACGAAAGUCUGACGGAGCAACGCCGCGUGAGUGAUGAAGGUUUUCGGAUCGUAAAGCUCUGUUGUUAGGGAAGAACAAGUACCGUUCGAAUAGGGCGGUACCUUGACGGUACCUAACCAGAAAGCCACGCUAACUACGUGCCAGCAGCCGCGGUAAUACGUAGGUGGCAAGCGUUGUCCGGAAUUAUUGGGCGUAAAGGGCUCGCAGGCGGUUCCUUAAGUUGAUGUGAAAGCCCCCGGCUCAACCGGGGAGGGUCAUUGGAAACUGGGGAACUUGAGUGCAGAAGAGGAGAGUGGAAUCUCCACGUGUAGCGGUGAAAUGCGUAGAGAUGUGGAGGAACACCAGUGGCGAAGGCGACUCUCUGGUCUGUAACUGACGCUGAGGAGCGAAAGCGUGGGGAGCGAACAGGAUUAGAUACCCUGGUAGUCCACGCCGUAAACGAUGAGUGCUAAGUGUUAGGGGGUUUCCGCCCCUUAGUGCUGCAGCUAACGCAUUAAGCACUCCGCCUGGGGAGUACGGUCGCAAGACUGAAACUCAAAGGAAUUGACGGGGGCCCGCACAAGCGGUGGAGCAUGUGGUUUAAUUCGAACGCAACGCGAAGAACCUUACCAGGUCUUGACAUCCUCUGACAAUCCUAGAGAUAGGACGUCCCCUUCGGGGGCAGAGUGACAGGUGGUGCAUGGUUGUCGUCAGCUCGUGUCGUGAGAUGUUGGGUUAAGUCCCGCAACGAGCGCAACCCUUGAUCUUAGUUGCCAGCAUUCAGUUGGGCACUCUAAGGUGACUGCCGGUGACAAACCGGAGGAAGGUGGGGAUGACGUCAAAUCAUCAUGCCCCUUAUGACCUGGGCUACACACGUGCUACA